rnacentral:rRNA from 1 species
CAGUAGCCGCGGUAAUACGUAGGUGGCGAGCGUUGUCCGGAAUCAUUGGGCGUAAAGGGAGCGCAGGCGGGCAUGUAAGUCUUUCUUAAAAGUUCGGGGCUCAACCCCGUGAUGGGAAAGAAACUACAUGUCUUGAGUACAGGAGAGGAAAGCGGAAUUCCCAGUGUAGCGAUGAAAUGCGUAGAUAUUGGGAGGAACACCAGUGGCGAAGGCGGCUUUCUGGACUGCAACUGACGCUGAGGCUCGAAAGCCAGGGGAGCGAACGGGAUUAGAUACCCCUGUAGUCCCUGUCUCUUAUACA